GGAAGUAAAAGUCGUAACAAGGUCUCCGUUGGUGAACCAGCGGAGGGAUCAUUACCGAGUUAUUACUCCAAACCCUUUGUGAACCUUACCUUUUUGUUGCUCGGCGCACCGCGGGCCGCGGCUUCGGCCCGUCCCGCAGCGCGCCAGAGGACCCAACUCUUCAAUUUAUAGCGUACCUUCUGAUUUACAAAACAAACAAGUUAAAACUUUCAACAACGGAUCUCUUGGUUCUGGCAUCGAUGAAGAACGCAGCGAAAUGCGAUAAGUAAUGUGAAUUGCAGAAUUCAGUGAAUCAUCGAAUCUUUGAACGCACAUUGCGCCCGGCAGUAAUCUGCCGGGCAUGCCUGUCCGAGCGUCAUUUCAACCCUCAAGCACUGCUUGGUGUUGGUGGCCUACGGCGCCCUCAGCGGCCCGUAGCCGCCCAAAUGCAUUGGCGGACCCGCCGUGGCUCCCUGCGUAGUAGCUUAAACCUCGCAUCGGGCCUAGGCGUCGCCCUGCCGUAAAAUGAAUCAUUUUUUUAGCACUGGUUGACCUCGGAUCAGGUAGGAAUACCCGCUGAACUUAAGCAUAUCAAUAAGCGGAGGA
rnacentral:rRNA from 1 species